GCAGACACAUUCCAGCCAAUCAGCAGCAGACCCUCCCUCCCAGACCCUCCCACCUCCUGGACAGCAUCCAUUUUGAAGCUGCAUUCUUAGUGAGCUGUCCAGGAGGUGGGAGGGUCUGGGAGGGAGGGAGGGAGGGUCUGCUGCUGAUUGGCUGGAAUGUGUCUG
rnacentral:miRNA from 1 species